rnacentral:rRNA from 1 species
UACAGAGGGUGCGAGCGUUAAUCGGAAUUACUGGGCGUAAAGCGUGCGUAGACGGUUAUUUAAGUCGGAUGUGAAAUCCCCAGGCUCAACCUGGGAACUGCGUCUGAUACUGGAUGGCUUGAAUCCGGGAGAGGGAUGCAGAAUUCCAGGUGUAGCGGUGAAAUGCGUAGAUAUCUGGAGGAAUACCGGUGGCGAAGGCGGCAUCCUGGACCGGCAUUGACGCUGAGGAGCGAAAGCCAGGGGAGCAAACGGG